rnacentral:misc_RNA from 1 species
CAUAAUAAGUGUUUUAUGGCACUUUUAAAUCCAUAUCCACCUUGUGUGCAAUGUCAGUCGAUCUUCUUCAUGGAGAUCGACCAAACAUCAACCUUUAUCUUUUAACUCUUUGUCUGAAAAAUAUUAUGAAUAAACAAUUCAAAAUA